rnacentral:rRNA from 1 species
CCUACGGGAGACAGCAGUGAGGAAUAUUGGUCAAUGGGCGAGAGCCUGAACCAGCCAAGUCGCGUGAGGGAGUACUGCCCUAUGGGUUGUAAACCUCUUUUGUCGGGGAGCAAAAGCCGGACGUGUCCGGCUGUGAGAGUACCCGAAGAAAAAGCAUCGGCUAACUCCGUGCCAGCAGCCGCGGUAAUACGGAGGAUGCGAGCGUUAUCCGGAUUUAUUGGGUUUAAAGGGUGCGCAGGCGGAUUUUUAAGUCAGCGGUAAAAUCGUGGGGCUCAACCCCAUCCAGCCGUUGAAACUGGGGAUCUAGAGUGUGCGAGAGGUAUGCGGAAUGCGUGGUGUAGCGGUGAAAUGCAUAGAUAUCACGCAGAACCCCGAUUGCGAAGGCAGCAUACCGGUGCACAACUGACGCUCAGGCACGAAAGCGUGGGUAUCGAACAGGAUUAGAUACCCUGGUAGUC